GACGAACGCUGGCGGCGCGCUUAACACAUGCAAGUCGAGCGAAGAGGCGGACGGGUGAGUAACACGUGAGUAACCUGCCUUAGACAUUGGGAUAGCCUCGGGAAACCGGGAUCAAUACCAAAUGGUCUAAGAUGGACUCGCGUCCCAUUAGCUAGUUGGUGAGGUAACGGCCCAGCACGGCGACGAUGGGUAGGCGGCCGGAGAGGCUGAACGGCCACAUGGGAACUGAGGAACGGUCCAAACUCUACGGGAGGCAGCAGUGGGGAAUAUGUAACAAUGGAGGUGACUCUGGGGCAGCGGCGCCGCGUGAACGAAGAAGGUAUUCGUAUGGUAAAGUUCUUUGCUAUGAGAAGCAGUACCAUAGAAGAAAGCGCCGGCUGAAUUCGUGCCAGCAGCCGCGGUAAUAC
rnacentral:rRNA from 1 species